CAUCAGCUUCAUUAUUUGAUCUUCUAUUUCUUUGCGUGUUUGGCGGUUGGUUUAUCUUCCCAUAAAUGAAAUUCAUAUCUUCCAACAUGAACAAGAUUUCAGAGCCACUGUUCUGCAAAGGAGCUUCUCUGAACUCUUCAGUACCGUCAAAUACAGAACUCUGAAAUCUAAAUCUAUGAUUUUCCAGUAACCACCGACGAUGCCCCAUGUAAGAGAACUUCUUCCCAUUGUACAACCAUUGCGAACAUGUUUGUGCAGCACAACAAGG
rnacentral:lncRNA from 1 species